UGGGGAAUUUUGGACAAUGGGCGAAAGCCUGAUCCAGCAAUGCCGCGUGUGUGAAGAAGGCCUUCGGGUUGUAAAGCACUUUUGUCCGGAAAGAAAUGGCUCUGGUUAAUACCUGGGGUCGAUGACGGUACCGGAAGAAUAAGGACCGGCUAACUACGUGCCAGCAGCCGCGGUAAUACGUAGGGUCCAAGCGUUAAUCGGAAUUACUGGGCGUAAAGCGUGCGCAGGCGGUUGUGCAAGACCGAUGUGAAAUCCCCGAGCUUAACUUGGGAAUUGCAUUGGUGACUGCACGGCUAGAGUGUGUCAGAGGGGGGUAGAAUUCCACGUGUAGCAGUGAAAUGCGUAGAGAUGUGGAGGAAUACCGAUGGCGAAGGCAGCCCCCUGGGAUAACACUGACGCUCAUGCACGAAAGCGUGGGGAGCAAACAGGAUUAGAUACCCUGGUAGUCCACGCCCUAAACGAUGUCAACUAGUUGUUGGGGAUUCAUUUCCUUAGUAACGUAGCUAACGCGUGAAGUUGACCGCCUGGGGAGU
rnacentral:rRNA from 1 species